rnacentral:tRNA from 1 species
GGUCAGAUAGCUCAGUUGGUAGAGCAGGAGACUGAAAAUCUCCGUGUCGGCGGUUCAAUUCCGUCUCUGACCACCA